GACGCCGCCGCCUGCGCCUACACGACCCCUCCUCUAUAGGGGUUCUGCGGCAACUGAUUCAACUUUUCACGACCUCCUCGCUCGCCUCGGCUACUACUGGAUGAGAUGGGAGACUGCGGCGAUGGGAGCGGAGGCAGAGGCGCUACAGGAGCGCAUCUGGGACCUCCACGACAAGCUCAGACACGCCAUCCUCUUCCUCUCCGCCCGUGCCGGCCAUCCGGGCUGCGGCUGCCGCGCCCCCAACGGGCACGUGGUCAUCAAGGGACGGUGGCCCGGAGGUUGCCCCGACCUUGUGGCGGCGUCGGCCAUGGUAGAUGCGCGGGGCCUACACGCCAUCCACGCCGCGCUCGAGGAUCUCGAGGGCCACCUCCACUUCCUUCAUGUUAGGUACUAGGAAAACGAGUUCAGGAUAUGCAAAAGGAAGCUUAACUUUCUUCGCUAAGGAGAUCCUUGCAUCGGGAAAAAUAAAUUUGAUGAUUAUUUGGCUUUGCUCGUUGUUACGGUAACAGAUUUCACUCUGGAAAGGAUAAGUGCAACUGCAACCACUCAAUAUUUUCGUAUGAUGCAAAUUAAAUUGGAUAUUUCCUAACUAGACGCACAAGGUUUUUACUAUGGUGCAACUUUAACUGAAUAUCUUUUGACACUUGUAUCAUCUUAUUUUACAACCCUUCAAGAUAAAAUUUAACCUUUUGUUUUCUUGACUUCAGAGUUUGGACAAUGUUAUCUGCACAUUCGUAAUGUAUAUCAAGUCAGAAAUUCACCACGUUUUUAAUCUAACAUGUAGAUUGGUGUGUGUGAAGAUAUCAGAAAGUCACUGAUUUUGAGACUAUAUGGAGUUUGAGAUUCCAUAAUGCAUGGAUCUUAUUUCUCUUUGAAGUCCUUCAACUGAAACAUGUUAUUUCUACAAAAUAAACUGUUCUUCGGUCAUAUAGUUCAGUGAAGUUUGACUGAACCAAACUGGAACCAAGCUUCUCCUUACUGCAGUAUUGAAAAAAUUAACAUGACAGUCAGUUUAAGAUAAUCUGUAUGUAAAGAAUAUGGUGCUAAUACUUGUGUUGCAUAAAUUUGUAGGUAGCUCACUUACUGCACUGGUUUGUCUUUAGAGUUCAGGUUUGUCUUCAGAGUUCAGUGAUAGCUUCUCCUUACUCUUGUCUUUAUAACCUGAUGUCGUGCAAGCACUAGAUCUACCAAGUAGUAAUUUCACUUAAAAGGUAAAACAAAUGGCACCAUUAAGCUGGUCUACCUUUUUUUACCUGAUUAUUGAAGAUCACCUGGUGGUUUUUUCCCUUCCAAUGGGCACAAUUAUGCCAUUUCAUUUAUUUAUAUUUCUUGAUUUUUUGUUGUGUGGUAGCAGUGUCAGUGUGGUAGAGAUUAUAUCCAUGCUUUAGGAACAGAAGCCGAAAAUGUUUGGCCGGUAUGUAUAUGUUUGGCUGGUAUACGAGCUAUAUAUUGAUGCAUAAAUUCUGGAGUUCCAUGUACUACUUAACUUUGCAGUUGUAAGAAAAUCUUUGCAAAUACCAUCCCGCAUCAACAUUGCAAAUGGAUAGUUUUUCAUGUCAGUGUAGAAAAAAAGACUCGAAGACCUGUGGCAGCGCACAUGUCGUCCUCAACUCGACAUCAAGGAUGAGCAAGCACGGCAGUGAUGUUGUAUCUUUGUUGACGCUGAAUAUUCUGAAUGGAGUGACACAUAAUCUUUCGCUAGAUAUUCACUUAAUGGACCUCAAAUUUUUUGGAGCUCGUCAUUCUUAAUUUACGAUCUUCCCUUCCUAGACAUGUUGAACAGGUGUAUCUAUUGACUAUCAAGUAUAUAGUGUGACACCACAAUCCUAUUUUACAGCAAGAAUUCAUCACAUGAAAGAAUAGACCUUUGUAGCCAUAUUAUUAUUUCCUCCAACUGACCAUAUACCCUUAAGAUUUGAUAGACGUGGAUAGAUCAUCAAGACCCUUGUAAGCAGACAACAUUAUAGUGUGACACCACAAUCCUAUUUUACAGCUAGAAAUGGAAUUGUAUAAGAACAUACUAAAACCCUUUGGAUAUAUUUGUCCACAUCAAUUAUUUACAGAUAAUAGCCAUGUCAUACCUUCACAGUGGCCACAACAGCACAAUCUUGACGACAUUUCAGCAUAUUCAGAAAAAUCACUUUUGCCUUUUAUAUGCUGAAUCCUCGCAUGCGCAUAAAACUACAUGGUGAAGGUAGCAGUUAGUUCAAGUUCAUCUUCAAGGAAAAAUCAGAAUACAUCUAACUUCCUAUCAGUUGAGGUGUAAAAUAUCUUCCAGUUAUUUGGACAAAGCAUACAAAAUAGUUUCUGGACAACUGAUAAAGUUUGCAUACUGUAAUAUGACAUGAUAAUCUCCAAACUUCUGUGGGAUCUGUUCGCUUGCAAGAAUCCUCAAGGAUUGCACAGAGUGCUCUUCCUUUCUGUCAUGAAUUCCAUUGGCAGCGUUCUGAGAAAGUUUGGUCUUGAUGUUCCUUCUAAAUAACUGCUCAAUAGACAGGGCAUGUUGUGGUCUCUUUCAAAAUGAGCGACAUGUUUUAGUUCAGUACUGCAACUGCACAAAUUAAGUAUUCCAUGUGGUGAUUGACUGUUUCCAAUAAUCACCUG